AGCAGAAUGGAGAGAAAGACAAACGUUCAUUUUUCAUUCAGCAAAUACUUGUUGAGCAUCGGCAUGUGUCUGAUACUUACGUGCCGCUGUCUAGCAUUUUCAUCCUGACAACCGAUAGCCACGGAAAACAGGUGUCUAUUAUACACAGCUCCGAGCC